CAAAUCCCAUAAAGUUGUUCUCAGUUCGGAUUGUAGUCUGCAACUCGAAUACAUGAAGCUGGAAUCGCUAGUAAUCGUAGAUCAGCAUGCUACGGUGAAUACGUUCCCGGGUCUUGUACACACCGCCCGUCACACCACGAGAGUUUGUAACACCCGAAGCCGGUGGAGUAACCAUUUUGGAGCUAGCCGUCGAAGGUGGGACAAAUGAUUGGGGUGAAGUCGUAACAAGGUAGCCGUAUCGGAAGGUGCGGCUGGAUCACCUCCUUUCUAAGGA
rnacentral:rRNA from 1 species